CGGUCCUAAGGUAGCGAAAUUCCUUGUCGGGUAAGUUCCGACCUGCACGAAUGGCGUAAUGAUGGCCAGGCUGUCUCCACCCGAGACUCAGUGAAAUUGAACUCGCUGUGAAGAUGCAGUGUACCCGCGGCAAGACGGAAAGACCCCGUGAACCUUUACUAUAGCUUGACACUGAACAUUGAGCCUUGAUGUGUAGGAUAGGUGGGAGGCUUUGAAGUGUGGACGCCAGUCUGCAUGGAGCCGACCUUGAAAUACCACCCUUUAAUGUUUGAUGUUCUAACGUGGGCCCCUUACCGGGGUUGCGGACAGUGUCUGGUGGGUAGUUUGACUGGGGCGGUCUCCUCCUAAAGAGUAACGGAGGAGCACGAAGGUUGGCUAAUCCUGGUCGGACAUCAGGAGGUUAGUGCAAUGGCAUAAGCCAGCUUGACUGCGAGCGUGACGGCGCGAGCAGGUGCGAAAGCAGGUCAUAGUGAUCCGGUGGUUCUGAAUGGAAGGGCCAUCGCUCAACGGAUAAAAGGUACUCCGGGGAUAACAGGCUGAUACCGCCCAAGAGUUCAUAUCGACGGCGGUGUUUGGCACCUCGAUGUCGGCUCAUCACAUCCUGGGGCUGAAGUAGGUCCCAAGGGUAUGGCUGUUCGCCAUUUAAAGUGGUACGCGAGCUGGGUUUAGAACGUCGUGAGACAGUUCGGUCCCUAUCUGCCGUGGGCGCUGGAGAACUGAGGGGGGCUGCUCCUAGUACGAGAGGACCGGAGUGGACGCAUCACUGGUGUUCGGGUUGUCAUGCCAAUGGCACUGCCCGGUAGCUAAAUGCGGAAGAGAUAAGUGCUGAAAGCAUCUAAGCACGAAACUUGCCCCGAGAUGAGUUCUCCCUGACUCCUUGAGAGUCCUGAAGGAACGUUGAAGACGACGACGUUGAUAGGCCGGGUGUGUAAGCGCAGCGAUGCGUUGAGCUAACCGGUACUAAUGAACCGUGAGGCUUAACCUU
rnacentral:rRNA from 2 species